rnacentral:rRNA from 1 species
UGGCGAACGGGUGAGUAACGCGUGAGGAACCUGCCUCAAAGAGGGGGACAACAGUUGGAAACGACUGCUAAUACCGCAUAAGCCCACGGGUCGGCAUCGACCUGAGGGAAAGGAGCAAUCCGCUUUGAGAUGGCCUCGCGUCCGAUUAGCUAGUUGGUGAGGUAACGGCCCACCAAGGCGACGAUCGGUAGCCGGACUGAGAGGUUGAACGGCCACAUUGGGACUGAGACACGGCCCAG